AUAAAUAGAUGAAAUGUUGUCACCUUGUUGUAAAGUUGAAAUUAACAACAUAUACUGUGUGAUUGUGACUAAGUACAAAAUUGAAAUGUGAUUGGAGAAGGAUAAAAGUUUUUCAUUUGUUUCAGGCAAGAGGUGUGGUUAAGCAAAUAGUGAGUCUGUAGGCUAGAGAGAGAGAGAGAGAGAGAGAGAGAGAGAGAGAGAGAGAGAGAGAAAGAAUGAGCAAGAGAAAGAGUAGGAUGAAGCAAAGGAAGAGUCAAGAGGGAGGAAGAGAGAGUAGGACAAGAAAAAACAAAACAAAUAAAUCCCCUACACGUCUUGUCUCCAUUCACACAAGCCAUGAAAAGCUUGUCCAUCCCUGAGUGCUCAGAAGCAGUGUUCCACUGAUGAUGUGGAAACUUGAGACACCCAAUCAUUUAAUGGGCUUUAGUAGGUUUUGUCACCAGUCUUCUGUGUGUCACUGACUACAUUUUGAAAUUUUUAUCUGUUCUAUUUAAUUUUGUGUGUAUGUACACAAUGUUUAUGGUCAAUAAACUAUUUAUAAAACUAUUUAUCUGUGUGAGUAAGAUAAAAGCAGUUAUUGUUAUUAUUAUUAUUAUUAUUAUUAUUAUUAUUAUUAUUAUUAUUAUUAUUACACAUUUUCCUCCUUGUAUUUAAAUAUUAUUAUUAUUAUUAUUAUUAUUAUUAUUAUUAUUAUCAUGAAUUGUUCUUGUUUAUAAAUAAAAUACUGUAACUGA